AAGCUCGUAGUUGAAUUUCGGGGUCAGUAGGUUGGUCGUGCCACUGGUAUGUACUGGUCUCACUGAUUCCUCCUUCCUGAUGAGCUGUAAUGCCAUUAAUUUGGUGUUGCAGGGAAUCUGGACUGUUACUUUGAAAAAAUUAGAGUGUUUAAAGCAGGCUAACGCUUGAAUACAUUAGCAUGGAAUAAUGAAAUAGGACGUUCGAUCCUAUUUUGUUGGUUUCUAGGAUUGACGUAAUGAUUAAUAGGGAUAGUUGG
rnacentral:rRNA from 1 species